CGCCCCCCGCCCGGCACCGGCUCUUAAAGGGGCCGUGUGGCGUCGCCUCCGUGCUGCCAGGGACCCCCCCCCGCCCCCCACCAACCUUCAGGGAGCCUUCCUAGCCCCGGCGCCCGGCCCCAGCACGCGGGGACCCCCGGCCUCGCGCCGCUCACCGCCGAGGAGGGGCCGGCUGAACGGGUCGUGGCUCGAGGGUCUUCACCCGCCGUGGCCCGGCCGGAGCUGGCGCCGCCUCCCCAGCCCCGCAGCCUUUGUUCGCGCGGGGCCUGCGGGCCCCGAGACCCUCGCGGUCCCGGGCGGCGAGGGCGCUGCGCGAGCUAGGCCCGCGAGCACUUUACCUGCGGCACUGACGCUGACCCUCUCCAGCACCCCUGGAGGUGGGAACCUGGGUUUCCACUUUACUUGGGAGCAAAUUGGAAGCUCGGAGGCGAGACGGUUUGUCUCAGGCCACACGUCUCACGAACUCUGGGGAGGGUGUCCCCAGUGCAGUGCUGUCCCCCAGGCCCCGCCGAUCACUCCAGCCCCUGAUGCUUCUGGUGAAAAGCCACCCCCAAACAGUGCUUAUCGGGGUCCACCCUGACAAUAUGUGUUCUCCCCCAGCCCCCAGUCAAGGCUGUCGAGGGUCUGCCCCCAGGCGACUUGGGGCCCGGACGCUGGGAGUCCAGAGCGGGAACAAACAUAGGCAGGAAAGACCUGGAUGGUCCCUAGACCUGGAGGAGGUCAGGGAGCUGGAGGCAGGAGAGCCGGAAGAAGAUAUGCACCCACACACCUACUGAUUACUGAGCACCUUCUCCAGCAGGGCCCUGUGCGGGGCACUGGGAUGUUAGCUCUGAGAAAGACGACAAAGACCAUUGCCGUGAGCUGACACUGACGGGAGCCUUUGAAGAGACAGAGCAUGAACGGGGGAGGGUCAGAGAGAGAGGGAAACACAGAAUCUGAAGCAGGCUCCAGGCUCUGAGCUGUUGGCACAGAGCCCGACGUGGGGCUCGAACUCACAGACCGUGAGAUCAUGACCUGAGCCAAAGUCGGACACUUAACCAAAUGAGCCACCCAGGUGCCACCAUCUGUUGGAUUUUAAUGUAUAGAGAUAGAGAUGCCAUGAGCAGGGAAGGGACAGAGAGAGGGAGACACAGAAUCCAAGGCAGGCUGAAGGCUCUGAACUGUCAGCACAGAGCCCAACGUGGGGCUUGAACUCAUGAACACAAGAGAUCAGAACCUGAGUCAUAGUAGGACACUCAACCAACUGAGCAACCCAGAGUCAAGAGGAGUGCAAAGGACAUGCGUGAGACCCUGGGUACUUGACCUUGUUCCUCCCACAGAUGGGUACGUUUGCCUGGCUCUGCGGCCCGUGUGGCCUGAGGACAUCCCUGCAGACUCCAAACGUGGGAGCCCCUCCCUGGAUUCUGUGAAGCAAGUUGUGCAGGAGGUAAGACCCAUUGCUGGGGAGGGGACGUGUCAGCAGCUGAGGCCCGUUCUGAGCUGUCCUCUGGUAGCCACCUGCCAUGUGGGGCCGCUUAAUUCAAGCUGAGAGAAAAUCCUAUGAAGGAAAGGCUUCGGUUCCUAUUGCAAGUAUGCAGCGGCCUCUUGUGGUCAG